UUAACUUUUCUCCAAAAAUGAAAUAGAAAUAAGUUAUACUAUAGUGUGUGCCUCGAGAAAACCGAGUAAGAGGACACCAAAAGUCCGUCAUGUCGAUGACGGAGGCCACCCUCUCCACCGCCGGUAACCGCCGUUCUUACCGGUGCUACAACUGCAACGAUGCCUUUCACAUAACCACCACCGCCGGCGUCAGCUCCUCUUUUCGUUGCCCUCGCUGCUUUCAUCGCCACCUCCUCCCUAAUUACACCAUUGCCAGUCUUAUGCCUUUUUCUCAACAUUUAACUCUUACCAAUUUUACCCUUUCCACCAACAAUUCUGUUACUUUUGAUUAUUCCGAUUCCGAAACUGAAUCCGAUGAGAGUGAUUCCGACGAUCUUUCGUUUGAGUUGUUUAACUCAACUCAAUUCCGUUCACCGACUCUUAAAUCGUUUCUCAACUCACUUCCGAGUGUGAAAAUCGAUGAAUCAUCGAAAAACUGUUCGAUUUGUAUGGAGGAAUUUGGAAUUGAUACGGAAGCGAGUCAAUUGCCUUGUAAGCAUUUUUUUCAUAAUGAUUGUAUUGUCCCUUGGCUUAAUCGGAGUAAUACUUGUCCACUUUGUCGGCAUAAAUUGCCGCAAGAAGAUGAAGAUGAAAUUGAAAAGGAACUAGAAGUGAUUUUGGAUGGUGAAAUUGGUGGUAGAGAAUUUCGAGAUAAUAAUGUUGUUCUAGUAACAACAGCAUCAUCCUUGACUGAAGUUGGUGAGGAUGUUGACGAUGAUCUUAGAGAAAGGGAUCUGGAUGCAAUGCGCGAUGAAGAUGGUGAUAUAAUGAUGGUUGAUGCUUGAAGUUAAAAAGAGAAACAUAUAGACAUGUAUAUAAUUAUCCUUUUUGGUACCUAGUCGAAGCACGUGGUAACUUGUGGAAAGCUUUGAAGAAUGGUAUUCUGCUGAACCAGAUGCAGAGGCCAAAAGGCCCAGGUUAACUAUUAGAGUCUGCUUGGUGGCAGGUGCAUCAGUGCCCGUACUAGUAAAUAUGGGGAGUUGGUUGUUGCUAUUUCCCUUGUGAACGGAGGGGGUGUUGGGAUUUUAUUUUCACUAUUCAAGUCUGUAGCGGUCAACUGUGAAGGAUUUCCUAUGUGUGUUGUACAACUAGAGGAAAUGAGAAAACUUUACAGUUGAGAGCAUCAAUUAGAUUAAUUAUUUGUCCAUACUAGUCACUUAGAGAUAGAAACCUCUUCUAUGUUCAACAUUAUCAUGUUAAGCAAUGCAGUGUCGUGAAGUAUUUCUUCAAACUUUCCAUUUAAUUUUUGUAAGGUUCUAUUUCAUAAUAUUACUUCAAUCAAGAAGUAUGCUCUUUUAUAGAAAAUGUAUAUACUUUAAAUUUUUUUGUUAUAAACAAGAAAUGAGUAAUGAUUCCCACCCCAUGUGUUUAUGUUAUGUUUUGGAUAUGAUUCAAUUGCUUCAAAUCUAUGUAACAGAGGGUGAAGUCUAUAUGUAUGGCAUAUACAUAAGAUCUUCUUGGUAAUGGCAUCAAUUCUUGAGUUUUAAGCAUUCCCAACUGUAUUCAUUUAAUCUUACAUGUUAAGUACAAUCUAGGUUUGAGGUCACUGUCAUCGGUAAAUGAUGAUUCUUUGUACUUAUGGGUUGAAUUUAAUCUUACAUCUUGAAAUUUCUAGACGGCAUGGUAUAAGUGUCACAGAUGUUCUGAAGAUAAAUCUUUUGGGGUGGUAGGAAUUUUGUGGUGAGACCAGAUUAGCAACGCUUAAAAAAUCUGCUUGUUUUGGAAAGUGCUUCUUGAAAAAGUACUUUUGGAGAGUAGCAGUGUGUGUUCGGCUAAUCAAUUUGAAAUGUACUUUUGCCAAUGUUAGAGUAGCAAUUUGCGCUAACCCUUCGUCUUUUCUGAGAUUUUAGUGUUUCAAUUUCUUUUUUCUUUUUGUCUCCAACUUUUGCGAAGGCGAGUUAUUCUUCUGCUUCAAUGGAGUUCGGUGGUGGUUGUAAAAGAAGAAGGCCACAUAGCCUUAUGAAUGGCAAUGGCGGCUUCAAGAAAUCUAAGCUAGGUAACUUUUUUUGCUUUACUGUUUGCUGCAUUUCAUCCUCCAUUUCUAAUCUUUGUUUAGUUGCCUCUUAUAGGCUUCAUUAUUUGUUAUCUAUAUGUGCUGUCAAAUCUAGGGUUUUGCUAAUUUUUCUUCUCCUGGUUUUUUGAAUUUAAUGAUGUACAUGUCACUCUUUAUUGGCGUUGUCUAUUUAUUGUUUUCUAGUGGCCUUUAUUUUGGUUUAUUCUGUAUUUUGUUCCGUGAAGCAAGGUUAUAAUGCUUAUGAUUUUCAUUGGUUUUUCCUUUUGUUUUCAUUGUUGUCAUGUGUUCAUCAUAUUUCUUUUUUACCAAAAUGCAUAAUGGUGUAUAUUAAUAGAGCUUUUUUCAGCUUUGUAUAUUUUGUUGUCAGUUGUGGUGGAUGACAAUAUCUACGUAGUGGUUGUAAAUAUAGUUUGAUAGAUAGAAUGCCACACCAAAGUGCAAAGUUUGAAUAGUUAAAUGAAUUUAGAAUUCGGAAGUUCUAAAUAUGAGUGAGUUUCUUAUAAAGUAUGAUACUUAAAAACUACAAAGUCAAAUUUGAAACCGAUGUAGUAAAAUAUUUUUUCAUGAUUGAGCUGACAAAAUUUUGUUUUCAUGUAAGAAAGAGAGGACAACAAAUUUGCUGUAGUUACUGGUCCUUUUUUUUUUUUCCUCCAGAAGGCUUUGUCGUGCUUUCUACAGUAUUUUGUCAUGAUUUCUUCACUUCUGUUGUUCUUUUUUUCGAUCUGCUUUGAUAUACUGUUUACUGUUUGUUGAGCCGGGGGUCUAUUGAAAACAACCUCUCUAACUUGCAAGGUAGGGGUAAGGUUUGCGUACUCUCUACCCUCCCCAAACGCAUUACACUGGGUAUGUUGUUGUUGAGCACUUCCUUUUUUUUUAAAAAAUAAGCACUUUUGACUUUUCAGAAGCUUGGCCAAACAGGCUAUAACCAUGCACGGACCUUUUUGUUUAUUUUUUGUUUUAAAUAUAAAGAUCUAAGUGCUAGACUUCAUUGAUUUCAUAGAUACAUAGGGUGUAUAGUCCACACUCCACAGAUGCUUUUUGUAACUAGCGAUACCAACUUGGUAUUGAAACUGUUUACAAUAAUUGCUUACUUAUUAAAAGAUUGUUUGAGUUCAGCUUUAUAUGGUUUCAUUCCUCAUCCUCCAUUCCUUAUAAGUGUGGGGGUGGCGCUCUAUGGUGCUGAUUCUGAACAUAGUUUUGUAGAAAGAGAUAAUCAUGACUAUCAUAAAAAUACUUUGUCCCAUUUUAUAUGGCGUUAUUUGAUUGAAUGCUGCUUUUGAAACUUUAUGACUUAUAUGUAAAUAUUAGUGAUUGUGGAGCAAAAUGUUUACAAUAGUGGUUCACAAGUUAGUUUGAUUGAGAAAUGUUACAUCAAAGUUCAAUUUUUUUUAUUGUUGUAAUGAAUUUCCACUUUUGAAAGAUGUUUAGAAAAGGAAUGUCGCCAAACAUUCUGGAGUAUAUUAGUUUUGAUAUUUAUCUAACAAAACUAAUAGUAUCAAGGAAAAACAAGAUCAUGAUAACAAUAAAUGUAAAUAAAGUGAUUGCUUCUUGAGCUGUGGAUGGAGUUACUCUUUUUGUAGGAUUUUGGAAGAUUUGAGCCUAAAUAUGCUAAAAAGUUGCAUUUCUGGCAGAUUUUAACUCCUGAAUUUAGUUUUACUUCAUGUACCAUUGCACUUAUCAUUUCAAAUAUAAUUAUCUGCUUCUGUAAUUGCUUAAGCACAAGUUCUGGCUUCCAUAAAAUUAAAGUACUUUUUAUUUGCAUAAUAGCCGAGGCACAAGUUUUGUACUUUGUCUCGUUUAGGUAAAUUUUGCUCAGGUUCCGCUUCUAGCUUGUUUUUCUGAUCAACUGUUUAGCUUUGUAUAUACAGCUCUGAGCUACUGGACUGAUGGCAGGUUUUCACUAAGCGGGGCAGGGAAGUCAAGUAUCAGACUAAUAAAUACCUUUAGUGCUUAUUUACUUACUUUUAAGUGUGGGAUCUUAGUCAGUCUUUUCUGCAUCUGUUGUCCAUCACUUAACUGUCCCCAUCUUCCAGGUGAGAAUUUUGGUCAUACUCCAGGCUGGUCUCAUUUCUUUGUUUUUCCAUACAUUUAAAAGUAUUACACAUAGACUCGGGUCUAUCUGGAACAGCCUCUCUUCCUUCAAGGGGGUUAGGUCUGCAUACACUCUACCCUACAGACCCCACUCACUGGUAUUACACAGGGUUUGUUGUUGUUGUUGUUAUUGUAUGUAGAAGUAAGACGCACACUCUCUACAUAAACUUCUUUAGGCCAGAGGUCUAUGAUGCAAGACUAUGGUACCAUAUGCAACUAUGCUCAGAUUAGCUAUACAUGAAAUCCAUAUCCUGAGUUUACUUUUUUGCUUUCUUAUAAAUAAAAAAAAAAGAAUACAUAUCAUGGGUUUAAUUUUCUGCCUUGUGAUUACUCUUCCGAGUUCUGGUUUUUCUAUGUUGCUUGUGAUCCAUUAGGUUUGCCAUUAUAGUUCUGUUAGUUGUUUGCCCACUCCUUAUAUUGGGGUUCUAGUAGCUGCCGCUUGAAGUUAAACCGUUUUUGGGAAGUAGUCAGGGUGAAGAGUCCAUAAUUGUAACUCUUUUAGUUUGAAAAUUGAGGAUGUUGCUCUGACAUAUUUGCUCAAGGGCCAGCAUGUUUUGUAAUGAUUUUAAUUAAAAAGGUUUUUAGGAUGUAGUCUUUGUACAGCUUCUUCUUUAGGAUGUAGACUGGAUUUAGGUACGCAACAAUCGUUCGAAACAUCUGCUACCAAGUCAAUGGGUUGGUCAAUGACUGUGUGCUCUUUGCUGAAUUAACGACUGAUUUUGGAACCAAACCAGGUAACUUUAGAGGUGAUGGCGAUGGUAGAUUCUGAAGAAUCAAUGGCUCUACUGGUGACCUGUUGAAAAGAAGAAGGCUGCUUUGACUUUGAUUAGCCAACGAGUGCUGGGAUACUGUGCUCCUGUUCAUUUGUUGGUGAUAUUUGUACAUAUGAAUCCUACUGCUGAGGUUUGCAAGGGCUUGGGUUGAGCUGGGGUAGUUUCCAGAAUACCAGACAAUUAUGCAAGGGUUGCUUCCAACUCUAUUGAAGUCGAGCUACUUGUCAUUGUUACUCUAUCAAUUGUAUCGUCUAAAGUCUAAACCAUGGUUGGUAAUCAUCUACAUCAUUAGGAAAGUUUAGUAUUUGAUUGAGAUAGCGGUGCAUGAGUUGGAUUUUCUUUGAAAUUUUGUACUGUGCGAAGGAACAACACUUCGAAGGAAAACAAACAGCUGGGCAUUAUGGUCAUAAGUGCAAAACGAGUUUUUUUUCUUUUUUCUUUUAGUGUUUUUUUGGAAACAGCCUCGUAGUGGUAAGGUAUAUAUAUACUUUACCCUCCCUAAACCCUACUUUGUGGAAUUUCAUCGGGUAGAUUGAUGUUGUAUUUUACUUUCUA